rnacentral:rRNA from 1 species
UGGGGGAUAUUGCACAAUGGGCGAAAGCCUGAUGCAGCGACGCCGCGUGGGGGAUGAAGGCUUUCGGGUUGUAAACCUCUUUCGCUAUCGAACAAGGCCCGCUUAGGGUGGGUUGAGGGUAGGUGGAGAAGAAGCGCCGGCUAACUACGUGCCAGCAGCCGCGGUAAUACGUAGGGCGCGAGCGUUGUCCGGAAUUAUUGGGCGUAAAGGGCUUGUAGGCGGCUUGUUGCGCCUGCUGUGAAAACCCGGGGCUUAACUUCGCGCGUGCAGUGGGUACGGGCAGGCUUGAGUGUGGUAGGGGUGACUGGAAUUCCAGGUGUAGCGGUGGAAUGCGCAGAUAUCUGGAGGAACACCGAUGGCGAAGGCAGGUCACUGGGCCAUUACUGACGCUGAGGAGCGAAAGCAUGGGUAGCGAACAGG